rnacentral:rRNA from 1 species
UACGGGGGGGGCAAGCGUUGUUCGGAAUUACUGGGCGUAAAGGGCUCGUAGGUGGCCAACUAAGUCAGACGUGAAAUCCCUCGGCUUAACCGGGGAACUGCGUCUGAUACUGGAUGGCUAGAGUUUGGGAGAGGGAGUGCGGAAUUCCAGGUGUAGCGGUGAAAUGCGUAGAUAUCUGGAGGAACACCGGUGGCGAAGGCGGCAUCCUGGACCAACACUGACGCUGAGGAGCGAAAGCCAGGGAGCAAACGGG